ensembl:lncRNA
GGGGAAACAGAGACUCAUGUCUGUGUCCCUCCUCUGGUGAUCACUGCCUUUCCUUAUGUUAGGAAGGAAGCAAUCUGGGAGCUGCUUCCUUUCAUUGUGUGUAUUUUUCCUCAAGUGAGAACAGGUCGACAUCACUCACUGGUACUGAGACAUGGGAAUAUGCUCCAGUUAGGUAAGCUCAAGGACACCUACAGUACCCGAUGUCACAGGAAUGUCAAAAAGAUCAUCAAGGACAUCAACCAGCUGAGCCAUGGCCUGUUCACAGCGUUAUCAUCCAGAAGGCGAGGUGACUACCUCAUGAAGCUGGUUGAGAGAAUGCCAAGAGUGUGCAAAGCUGUCAUCAAGGCAAAGGACGGCUACUUUGAAGAAUCUAAAAUAUAUUUUGAUUUGUU